UAGGGAAUCUUCGGCAAUGGACGAAAGUCUGACCGAGCAACGCCGCGUGAGUGAAGAAGGUUUUCGGAUCGUAAAACUCUGUUGUUAGAGAAGAACAAGGACGUUAGUAACUGAACGUCCCCUGACGGUAUCUAACCAGAAAGCCACGGCUAACUACGUGCCAGCAGCCGCGGUAAUACGUAGGUGGCAAGCGUUGUCCGGAUUUAUUGGGCGUAAAGCGAGCGCAGGCGGUUUCUUAAGUCUGAUGUGAAAGCCCCCGGCUCAACCGGGGAGGGUCAUUGGAAACUGGGAGACUUGAGUGCAGAAGAGGAGAGUGGAAUUCCAUGUGUAGCGGUGAAAGGCGUAGAUAUAUGGAGGAACACCAGUGGCGAAGGCGGCUCUCUGGUCUGUAACUGACGCUGGGGCUCGAAAGCGUGGGGAGCAAACAGG
rnacentral:rRNA from 1 species